GGAACUUUCGGAUCACCCAAACGGGGAAUUCGUAUCACCGAAAACGAAAAAGGAAUUCAGGGUGGAAGCCUACCCGAGUUUCAUUCCCUUCAUAGAUAGAAAAAAAUUGACUUCGCACCCAUAUAUUUUUGCCCCUGUCUGCUACUCGGGGCAUUGGUGGUUAUGGCUGAUAAAUGCAAGAAAGCGGAAAUGUCAAAUACUUGACCCGCUACACAAAAAAGCUCCCACCGAUGAGAGAAAGGCCAUUAAUAAAUUCACUGGAUACGUAUUUUCAAGAUUGAUAACAUAUGCCGGCGGGGAACCUCUUCAGAAAGGGGAAAGGGAGAAUGAAAUUAAAUCACCAUAUGUUAAAAUAUCUGGCUAAAA